AGAGUUUGAUCAUGGCUCAGAACGAACGCUGGCGGCAGGCUUAACACAUGCAAGUCGAACGCCCCGCGAGGUGAGUGGCAGACGGGUGAGUAACACGUGGGAACCUUCCCUAUAGUACGGAAUAGCCCAGGGAAACUUGGAGUAAUACCGUAUACGCCCGAAAGGGGAAAGAAUUUCGCUAUAGGAUGGGCCCGCGUAGGAUUAGCUAGUUGGUUGAGGUAAUGGCUCACCAAGGCGACGAUCCUUAGCUGGUUUGAGAGAACGACCAGCCACACUGGGACUGAGACACGGUCCAGACUCCUACGGGAGGCAGCAGUGGGGAAUAUUGGACAAUGGGCGCAAGCCUGAUCCAGCCAUGCCGCGUGAGUGAUGAAGGCCUUAGGGUUGUAAAGCUCUUUUGCCGGGGACGAUAAUGACGGUACCCGGAGAAUAAGUCCCGGCUAACUUCGUGCCAGCAGCCGCGGUAAUACGAAGGGGACUAGCGUUGUUCGGAAUCACUGGGCGUAAAGCGCACGUAGGCGGAUUUGUAAGUCAGGGGUGAAAUCCCGGGGCUCAACCUCGGAACUGCCUUUGAUACUGCGAAUCUUGAGUCCGAUAGAGGUGGGUGGAAUUCCUAGUGUAGAGGUGAAAUUCGUAGAUAUUAGGAAGAACACCGGUGGCGAAGGCGGCCCACUGGAUCGGUACUGACGCUGAGGUGCGAAAGCGUGGGGAGCAAACAGGAUUAGAUACCCCCGUAGUCC
rnacentral:rRNA from 1 species